AUUAAACGCUGGCGGCAUGCCUUACACAUGCAAGUCGAACGGCAGCACGGGGCAACCUGGUGGCGAGUGGCGAACGGGUGAGUAAAGCAUCGGAACGUGCCCUGGAGUGGGGGAUAACGUAGCGAAAGUUACGCUAAUACCGCAUAUUCUGUGAGCAGGAAAGCAGGGGAUCGCAAGACCUUGCGCUCUGGGAGCGGCCGAUGUCGGAUUAGCUAGUUGGUGGGGUAAAGGCCUACCAAGGCGACGAUCCGUAGCGGGUCUGAGAGGAAGGCCCCCCACAAUGGAACUGAAACACGGUCCAUACACCUACGGGUGGCAGCAGUAGGGAAUAUUAGAAAUGGGCGGAAGCCUGAUCUAGCAACACCGCGUGUGCGAUGAAGGCCUUCGGGUCGUAAAGCACUUUUUGGAGGGAAUAGGAAGGAAGGUACCUCCAGAAUAAGUCUCGGCUAACUACGUGCCAGCAGCCGGUAAUCUGUAGUCGU
rnacentral:rRNA from 1 species